rnacentral:rRNA from 1 species
GAUGAACGCUGGCGGCGUGCCUAAUACAUGCAAGUCGAGCGAACAGACGAGGAGCUUGCUCCUCUGACGUUAGCGGCGGACGGGUGAGUAACACGUGGAUAACCUACCUAUAAGACUGGGAUAACUUCGGGAAACCGGAGCUAAUACCGGAUAAUAUAUUGAACCGCAUUGUUCAAUAGUGAAAGACGGUUUUGCUGUCACUUAUAGAUGGAUCCGCGCCGCAUUAGCUAGUUGGUAAGGUAACGGCUUACCAAGGCGACGAUGCGUAGCCGACCUGAGAGGGUGAUCGGCCACACUGGAACUGAGACACGGUCCAGACUCCUACGGGGGGCAGCAGUAGGGAAUCUUCCGCAAUGGGCGAAAGCCUGACGGAGCAACGCCGCGUGAGUGAUGAAGGUCUUCGGAUCGUAAAACUCUGUUAUUAGGGAAGAACAAAUGUGUAAGUAACUAUGCACGUCUUGACGGUACCUAAUCAGAAAGCCACGGCUAACUACGUG